UAAAUGAUGGUAGGGAAAAGUUUUUGGGUAGAUGGAUGGGGUGGUAGUGGGACAGUAGAGAAGGCUUUGUAAAAAGACAGUGGGAAAAAGUUUUGGGGUAGAUGAAAAAGGGAGAUGACAGGGAGGGAGCCAAAGGUGGUCACCUGUUGGGGGCCUGGUUGUCACUGGAGGGCUGGGGUCCCCCUUGGACCUGGUUUCAACUUGAGGCCUAGCGUUUAUUUGAAUUUUCAUAUACUCAUGAGACCUGGUGUCCUUGUGGGGCCUGAUACUCACCAGGGUCUUAGGUAUCUACCUGGAGGCCUUGUGUCCACCAUGGGCCUUCUCUUCACCAGGGACCUGGGAUUCUUGGCCUGCUGUUCACCUGAGACCUGGUGUCAUCCUGGGACCAAAUGUCCACCUGGGGCCUGAAGACUUCCCGGGGCCUGGAUAUCCACAUGGGGUCUAAUGUCUGGACAUCCACAUGAGGUCUAAUGUCUGGACAUCUAGGGUUUUGGUUUUCACUUGGGGCCUGGAUAUUCAUCUGGGGCCCGAUGUUCACCAGGGGACUGGAGUUCAUCUGGGGCCUGGUGUCCACCUCCAAUCUUAUAGCCAUAAGGGUUCUAGCUAUACCUCUGAGGCAUGUGUCUUCUUUUGAGACUGGGUGUUCAUGCACCUGCAGCCUAGUGUACACCUAGAGCCUAGUCAGUCUUCCUGGGGGUCUGGUGUCCACCUGGGGACUGGGUAGUCACUUGGAACCUUUUUUCUUCUUGGGGCCUUAGUGUCUACCUGGACCCUGAUGGUCAGCUGUAGACGGCUUUCUUCCUAGGGCCUGAUGUUCACUUUGAGAUUGGGUGUUCCCCUGAGGCCUGGGGAUCCUGCUGAAGCCUGAUGUCCACCUGGUGCCUGAUGUGUAUCUGGGGCCUGGAGUUUACUUGGGACAUGGUUGUCACUUUUGGUUUUGUUGUCAUCUGGUGCCCUGGUGUUCCUUGGGGCCAUGAUGUCUGCCUGGGGUAUAGUGUCCACCUGGGGACAAGGUAUUUACCUGGAUAUUGGUGUCCAUCUGAGGCCUAGUGUUCACUUGGGGACUGAGUGUUCACAUUGGACCUGGUGUCUUCCCGGAGCCUGUUGUUAACUUGGGACCUUGGUGUCCCCAGGAGCUUGACGUUUAUCUGGGACUUGGUAUCAAUUGGGGGCCUGAGUUCUCUUUGGGUCAUUGCUUUUACCUACGGACUGGGUAUGUACCUGGGACCUCUUCUCCAGCUGACACCUAAUAUCUACCUGGGACCCUGGGAUCUGAUGUUUACCUUGGGCCUGCCGUGUCAGAGGCCUGAUGUCUCCCUUGAGCCUGGAUGUCCACCUGGGGCAUUGGUAUAUCUUUCUCGGGCCUGGCGUCCACAUGUGGCAUUGUGUCCAAAUGUGGCCUGGGUGUGAACCUGGAGCCAGGUGUACACCUUUGGUUUUGUGUCCACCUUGGACCUGAGGGUCACCUGGGGCCUGGGUUUCAACCUCGGGCCUUAUGUUUACCUGGGGACUGGUGUCCCCUUGGGCCUGGUGUUGACCCAAUGAUGUCCACAUAGGUGCUGGGUAUUCACCUGGAGCCUCGUGUCCACCUGGGGCCUGAUGUUACCCAGCAUAGGCAUUGCUCAGAAUACACACAGAUUGGAAAGGAGGAAGGAAUGAAAACAUGGGACCUGUGUAUGCAGUAUAAGAAAAGUGAAAACAACCAUUCAUCCAUUGGUGGUUACUUGGUUACUUCCGCUUUCCAGCCAUUGUGAAUACCAUUGCUAUUAACAUGGAGAUACAGGUAUUCUGAGACUCUGCUCUUAACACUUAAGGAUAGAUUCCCAGAUGUAGAACUGCUAGAUUAUGUGUUGAUUCUAUGCUGAGUUUUUUGAGAAAUUGCCAUAUUGUUUUCCACAGUGACUGCGCUGUUUUAUAUUUCUACCUACAGGGUGCAAAUGUUCCAAAUUCUCCACAUCUUCAUCAGCACCUGUUAUUUCUUAUCUUCUAGAUUAUCCAUCAGGGGACUGAUGUCUAGAUAGAGUGUGACAGUCACCUGAGGCCUUGUAUCCUCUUGAGGUGUGUCUGUGAGCUUGGUGACUGAAGUCUGCUUAGAGUCCACUGUCUACCUGGGGACUAAUGUCCACCUGGGGCUCAAUGAAAACCUAGGAGCUGAUAUUUACCUAGGGCCUGUCCACCUGGGGCUUGAUUUCAGCUGGGGCCUGAAGUUCUCCUAGCACCUGGUGUCCACCUGAGGCCUGGGUGUCAACCUGGGACCAGAUAUCCUGCUGGAGCCUUAGUGUUCCUGGUGCCUGAGGCCCAGGUGUCCUUGGGACUGGAUGUUCACCCAGGGCCUGCAAUCCCUUUGUCAUAAAGUGCACAACUGAGGUGCUAUGUUCACCUGGGACUUGGGUGCCCAUCAAGGGCCUGAUUUUGACCUGGGACCUGGGUAUUUAUUUACCUGAGGCCUCAGUGACCACUUGGGGCCUGACAUCCACUUGGGUUUUAGUGUCCACCUGGGUCCAGAUGUCCACUGGGUUCCUAGGUAUCCUGCUGAGGCCUGGUUUGUGCUUGGGGCCAGGUUUCUAUCUGGGGUGUGGGUAUGUACCUGGUUGCUUUUGUUGACAGUGCUCCUAGGUAUUCACUUGGGGCCUGGGGCCUAUGACCUCCUUGGACAUGUUGUUUCUCUGGGCCUUGUGUCCACCUGUGCCUUGGGUGUCAGCCUGGUGCUUGAUAACCACCUGUGGGCUCCAUAGAUACCUGGAGCCUGAUGGUCCCUUGAAGCCUGGUGUUUUGGGUUCUGAUGUCAACCUGGAGUGUAGGUAUCCAUCUGGGUCCUAAAUGUCCACCUGGGGCCACAUGUCCACCUCUGGUCUGGGUGUCGUCAUGGGGCCUGAUACUCACCAGGAGCCUAGGCAUUUAUGUGGUGCAUGCCGUCCCAUGAGGAUUGAUAUUCAGAUGGGGACUGGGUAUCCACCUUGGGCCUAUGGUACUGCUUGGGCCUGAGUGUUUACCUGGAGACUGAUACCCAUCCUGUGCCUGCUGCCUACGUAGGGCCUCAUGUUUCCAUUGAGCCUGGAUGUCCACCCGAGUCUUUGGUAUCUUCAGCAGGACGGCUGUCCUUCUCUGACUUUGGGUCCAGUGGCAGCCUGUGUGUGAGCCUGAUAGUUCAUGUACACCUUGAAUCCAUGCCCACCUGAGCCUUUAUGUCCACUUGGGGCCUGAUGUCUACAUGGGGACUGGGCAUUUACCUGAGGCCUAAUGUCCAUCUGGAACCAGAUGUUCCCCUGGGGCCAGGGUAUCCUCCUGGGGCCUAAUGUUCACCAGGGGUCUAGGCAUGUAGUUGAGGCCUGUUGUCCACCUGGGGUUUCCUGUUCACUGUGGGCCCAGACAUUCACUUGGAGCUUGGAGUUCAAGUGUGGGCUGGAGUUCCACUGGGACCUAUGUGUCCACCUGGGACCUGACAUACACCAAGAUGCCUGAUGUCCAUUUGGGACCUGGUUUCUCCCUGGGGCCUGGUAUGUACCUGGGGCCUGAUAUUUACCUGUGGCCCAGUGUCCACUUGGGGCCUAUGUGCCAAACUGUGACCUGAUGUCUACCUGGGGCCUGAUGUCCAUGCAGGGACUGGAGUCCCCCUGGGAUCUGGUGUCCACCUGGGGCCUGGUGUCUACCUGGUGUGUGAUGUUUAGUGUCUGCUUAUGGACUGAUGUUUCCUGGGACCUCAGUGCCCACUAGGGCCUGAAAAGGGUGUGUCAGUUUGCACUCACCCUCUUCCUGGGGAAAAUGGGUGGGGAGUUACCCUGGCCUUGCCCCUGUUCAUCCAGGAACUUGUCCUCCCACGCAAGCAGUGAGGAAGGCGGUACCUGGGUAAGUCGCCCCUGCUUCUAUGCUCAUUGAGUGAAGAUCUCAUGCGGGUGCUGGACUUGGGGCCCCAGAGCCAUGCCCUGCUACACUGCCUGCGAUAAUGGACUGGAUCCCGAGAGGGAGAGCACCACCCUUCCCUCUGCCGGGAGCCUGUUUGAGCAUGCAGGGCAGCUCCUCAAGGGCGCCAGGAACCCAGGCCACUCAGGUUAUCGGUGGCCACACACCAGAGCUGAGGGAGGGGGCCAGGCUGAGGUCACUGGACCGACAAGAAAGUCAUAGAGCCAGCCAGUGGCACCCAGGGACUGCAGGAGGCUUCUCCAAGGUAAGCUUCAGACCUGCAUUGGUUUCUGUGUCUUUGUCCAGUGGUGAAUUUCUGCAAGGCGGGUAGGACACGUUCAGGGCUGCCUCAGCAAUUUGUAGGCUUUUAAACCGUCUAGGAGAGACCCAUAGUUGAAACCUAGAGAGGGCUUGAUUCGGCCUGCCAUUCAUUUUACACAGUGGUCUUUAAGUUUCUUGGGAAACCGGGCCUGGGUUAGUUAUUUCUCCGUGUCACCCUUUCUUUCUUGGAUUUCUUGGUAUGCACAGUUGCCUUUUACUCUUUUCCGACAUAAGAACCUCAGGUCCACAUUUCCAUUCUUCCCUUCUGAUCCAUGUGUCCUCCAUGCAAAGCCCGUGGUGGGUCUUGCUCUGGGACUAGUGGAGCAGCCUUGCACUUGUGUUGGGUGUGGGAGUUUCAUGGUGGUUUCCUUCUGUAUGUAUUUGGCCUUCUAUUAUGAGUUCCUUGACUUGAGAAUGAUUGCAAAGUGUGCUUUUCAGUUUCCCAAAUACAUGUAUUUUGGAGACAUGAGUGUAUUGCAUUUGGCCAGAGAAUAUGUGACCUUUCCGUUGUUCGGGACUGGUGUGUACACCUGGGGGCCCAAUAUCCACCUGGGGGUUGGGUGUCCAUGUGGAACCUGAUGUACCUCUGGACCUGGUUGACAACAUGGGUCCUGGUGUGCACCUGGAGCCUGAUGUUCCCUAAGGGCCUGGUUAUCCACUUGGGUCCUGCUGUUCAUCUAGGACCCCAUGUUCGCCCAGGGCCUGAGAGUCACCUGGGGACUGGUUGUGUACCUGGGGCCUCACAUCCACCUGUGGUGUAGGUAUCUAUGUGGCCUCAGGUCUGCUCACCCUUGGAGCAGUGCAGUAGCCGCUCUGCACCCUGGCUUUGGCGAGGCUGCACCCCAGGUGUUAACAGCCACACAGGGUAGAUGAGCACCCCAGCUUCCAGGUGUAAGUCACUCCCCAUGGGCCCUAACCUCUUGCAGGAACUGUGAGGGCCAGGCUGGGAAUGAGCUGGCUGGGCUGCCAUAUUGGCAGAGGCCUAGUGGGGUGAGGUUUUGUCAGCGUCGGGGGUCUCUCAGAGGUCUCAGGUCGGAGCUUGCUGGGGUCAUGCUACUGUCGGGGGGUCAGGCCUGGCUGGAGAACCUGGUCACAGGGCUAUGCCCAGAGCAUGGCUGAGCCGGGGUUUGCACACCUUGGGGGGGGCCAGCCCACCUUGGGCAGCGCUGGGAGCAGGUCCCCGAGGGGCAGACAAAGGCGUGACCUGGUCAAGGCUGUUCUCGUUUCAUCCCUCUUCUCCCAACCAUGCAACACAUGCCUUGAGGACCCAGAGGCUGGCAGUGCUGAUCCCCAAGAGGGGGGAUGUGGGGCAGGGCUAUGGGGCCGGGAGAGGGCUCUGGGGGCCCCAGGGAAGGACCUGCCAAUCCUGAGGGACAGACUCAGACCAGGGGCAGGCUCACAGCAGGGCUCUCCUGGAAACUUCUGGCGGAGCGGCAGGCCGACGUCACUGUGGUUCCCAGUUGCUGAGGACACCAGGGUCAGAAUGAAAGGCUCACCCACUGAGGCUGCCCAGCCAGGGCUGUUGGGAGCCAGUCCCUGCCAGGUCUUGGCGGCGUUGGGAGCCUGGCUCUCGCUUCCUCUACCCUUGCCCUAGUCCAGGCAUUACCGUGGCUGCAGCUGGUCGUGGCCCAUCCACCCCUGCCCUGAGUCUGCAGCCCGGUCUGUCCUGGUCCUUGGAGCUGCAGGCCCAGCUUCACUUGGUGCAGCCUCCUGCAGGGACCGCUGAACCCACCAGAUGGCGAUAGAGGCCCACCGUGUCAACGGAGACCUGUGCAUGGGGCUGAGCCUCCAAAUCCUCUUCCAGGAGUCCAGCCAAUUAUCUCGAGUCGCCAUGACAUGGAUCUUGACAGGAGCUGUAGGAAAGCCGGGGAGGCUGUGCUGGCCUUCAAUAAGUCUCUAAGGCGCUGACUCCUGCCACUGCCAGGCUCAGGCCCACCUGCCUUCCCAGCUCCUUGUUGGUGUUACUGCCUUUAUCAGAGUGAAGGGAAGGAGGGUCAUGAUCCCAUCCCAAGAGAGGGGAACGCUGGCUAUCCCUACCCUGCCCUCCUGUCCACCCCAACCUGUCUGGGAACGCCCCUCAGAUUUGGCAUCAGGCCGCAGUCCAGUCACCCAGGCUGCUUCCUGCCCCAGGAAAACUUCACUGACCCCACCUAUGUCCACCAGGGUCUGGGGGCAUUCUGGGGGUGUUGUGCCGCUUGGUGGCCAUGCUGGGCUGGAGACUGGACACCCACAUCUCAUCUCGGGGAGCUUCAGGAGCCUCUUUGCACAUUUCACAGGGUUGGAGGGGUUUGUCCUAGUUUGAGACAGGGCCUUGCUCUGUCCUGCAGCCUCAAACUGCUGGACUCAAGCAGUCCUGCCUCAGCCUCCUGAGUACUGCAGGCACAUCUGCUACUAUGCCCAGCAAAUUGUUUAUUUCUUGUAGAGAUGGAGUCUUCCUGUGCUGCCCAGGCUGGUCUUGAACUCCUUGCCUCAAGUGAUCCUCCUACCUUGGCCUCACAAAGUGCUGGGAUUACAGACGACUUGGAGUGUAUUAUAGGGUCCAGCCCUACAGAGUUCUGUGAACCGCUCCCAACUGGUGUGGAGACAAGAAAUUGUAGAAACAAAAGACACAAGACACAGAGAUAGAGAAAAGAGAGUUUGGGCCCAGGGGUCCACUACCAACCAGAGGGCAGAGUCAGCAGUGGCCCCAAAUGCCUGGAUGCUCUCACUUUUAUUGAGUUGGAAAUCUGGGGCACGGUAGGUAGGGCAUAGCCUUGGAGGUUGGCGACUGGGGGCAGGGUAGAUAGGGCGUAGCAGUGAUACGGUCAAGUACAUCACGUGUCAUUCAGGUAGGGGCUCAGGAAUUUCUGGUAGCCUAAUUGAGUUAAGGAGCAUAAUGCGUCAGCACCUUUUCCAUACUUAUUAAGAAAGAACAAAAACAUUAAGAUUUAC